GAUGAACGCUGGCGGCGUGCCUAAUACAUGCAAGUCGAGCGAACAGAUAAGGAGCUUGCUCCUUUGACGUUAGCGGCGGACGGGUGAGUAACACGUGGGUAACCUACCUAUAAGACUGGGAUAACUUCGGGAAACCGGAGCUAAUCCCGGAUAAUAUUUCGAACCGCAUGGUUCGAUAGUAAAAGAUGGUUUUGCUAUCACUUAUAGAUGGACCCGCGCCGUAUUAGCUAGUUGGUAAGGUAACGGCUUACCAAGGCGACGAUACGUAGCCGACCUGAGAGGGUGAUCGGCCACACUGGAACUGAGACACGGUCCAGACUCCUACGGGAGGCAGCAGUCGGGAAUCUUCCGCAAUGGGCGAAAGCCUGACGGAGCAACGCCGCGUGAGUGAUGAAGGUCUUCGGAUCGUAAAACUCUGUUAUGAGGGAUGAACAUACGUGUAAGUAACUGUGCACGUCUUGACGGUACCUAAUCAGAAAGCCACGGCUAACUACGUG
rnacentral:rRNA from 1 species